UCCCUGCGCCUCCUCUGCAAGGGCUCCGGCUUCACCUUCAGCAGCUUCUGGAUGCAGUGGGUGCGACAGGCGCCUGGGAAGGGGCUCGAGUGGGUCGCGGGUAUUAGCAGCGGUGGUAGUAGCACCUACUACGCGCCGUCGGUCAAGGGACGCUUCACCAUCUCGAGGGACAACUCCCAGAGCACGGUCACGCUGCAGAUGAACAGCCUCAGGGCCGACGACACGGCCACCUACUACUGCGCGAAAGAAGAUGAUAAUUAUGCCGGAGCCCUUGCAGAGGAGGCGCAGGGCCCAGAUUUGGGUCAAGAGCCGGGGAUUUGGGCACCGUGA